UUUCAAAAGGAAUGAUUAGACCUUUGCCAGCGUCCGCGCGGGCAUUGCUGACACAUUUACUAUGGUCUUUCCAGUUGACCUUGUGACUGCCCGGGGCGACCACGUGGGUAGCGGAACCAGUGGUGAAGCGGUUCCCUUGGCCAGAUUCCGGAAACAGGUGGUGCUGACACCCCGUCCGAGGGCGCGGCGGGCAGGUUGACCGUGAGGCGGUUUGGAGGUGUCAGGUCUGAGGCUGUCGCUACGAAACCGUUUUCUACAGAAAGAGAUUAUACCAUGGAGCGCGGAGGGCGAGGCGAGGUGGCCAGCAGGGAGAGGCUUGCAGUGCUGGAGCCGGGCAGCAGCCUGGAGUCCGGAUGAAAACUACAACUCCCAGAAGUCCCGGGCCCUAAGGGGCCGGACCCACGGCGUGUGGGCGGGGCCUUCAGAGCGAGCCCGGCAAUUCUUCCGAGAGGAUCUGCUCCAGAAGUGGCGGGAGCGGCAGUUAUGGAAGCGCCGGAGGAGAAAGAGGCGCAGGUUGCUGCGUGGUUGAAAAAGAUAUUUGGAGAUCAUCCCAUUCCACAAUAUGAGGUCAAUGCCCGGACCACAGAGAUUUUACAUCACCUUUCAGAACGCAACAGGGUCCGGGACAGGGAUGGCCACCUGGUAAUAGAGGACUUGAAGCAGAAAGCAAGUGAAUAUGAAUCGGAAGCCAAGCAUCUUCAAGACCUUCUCAUGGAAAGUGUGAAUUUUUCCCCUGCCAACCUCUCUAGCACUGGUUCUAGAUAUCUGAAUGCUUUGGUUGACAGUGCAGUGGCCCUUGAAAUAAAGGAUACCUCAGUAACCAGUUUUCUCUCUGCAGUGAAUGAUUUGACCUCUGAUCUUUUUCGUGCCAAAUCCAAAAAUGAAGAACUCAAGCUUGAAUUGGCAAAACUUGAAAAAAAAUUAACUGCAAGUUUAGUAUUAGAAAAAUGUCUACGAGACGAUCUCAAGAAGGCAGAGUUGCAGCUGUCUACGGAAAGGGCCAAAGUUAACAGUCGUCUUCAGAACAUGGACUUCCUAAAAGCAAAGUCAGAAGAAUCCAGAUUUGGAAUCAGAGCUUUAGAGGAGAAACUUUCAGCCCGAGGCAUGGAGGCUUCUCUGUCUCAUCAAUCACUAGUAGAACUUUCAGAGAAACUGGCAGAACUAAAACAACAGACUAUACCUUUGAAGAAAAAAUUGGAGUCCUAUUUAGAUUUAAUGCCGGUAAUCAUUUUUAUGAAUUAAAAAAAGAAGAUGUCCUUUUUAGUACACACUAACUAAAUGAUCAUGAAUAUAGUGAAUCCAUGCUUAAGGAUUUAAGUUCAAGCUGAAUUUCAGAUCCAUCUCUUGCUCAGGUGAAAAUUGAAGAAGCAAAGCGAGAAUUAGAUACCAUUGAAGCUGAACUCACAAAGAAAGUAGACAUGAUGGAAUUGUGACCAGAGCCAAAUAAACUUUGUGCUCCCGAACUAAGUAAAUUAAAUAGGACUUUAAUCUUAAGAUUAAAAACACCUUAAGAGUAAUAAAAUAUAUAGAGGGGAAUAAAUGAUGAUGGGAAAAAUAAAAUGAAAAAUAU